UGUUCCGUUACGAAGUGAAAAAAAAUUCCCUUCAUUUAUUAAACUUGGUUCAAAAUGGUGCCGUGCUCUCUCUCUCUACCCCCACUGCCUCCGCGCUUGAUCAAUCCCUUCCCCCGCUCUCUGAAACUGCUAGCGAACCACCAUGCCUCCGCCGUCACGUCCCUAGCCGCCGCGCCGACGGCUCUGCCUCCGACUCCACACUGAAGCAAUCUGCUCUCUCUCUCUCUCUCUCUCUCUCUCUCCUCUGUGGAGUGCUGAAUCUGCUAGUGAACCACGACGCCGACGCGCUUCCGUUGGUUGCCUCUGUCGUUGCCUCCCGAGCCACCGUGUCGAGGCAAUCUGCCAGCGAACCACGACGCCGACGCACCUCCGCCUCCGCCGUCGCCUCCCCAGCCGCUGCGCCUCAGCGCUGAAUCAAUCUGCUUUCUCUCCCCUCCGCAAAGCGCUGAAUCUGCUAGAGAACGCGGAUGUCGAUGCCGACGCGCCUCCGCCUCCGCUGUUGCCUCCCCGACCUGCCGUCGCGUUUUUCCCUCACCCUCGCCACUUCCGCUCUGUUCCCUCUUUCUUUCCUCCGCGAAGUGCCCUUGCUUGUGAAUGCCAACGCCACCGACGCCGUCGUCGCUGUCGCCUCUCGAGCCCCGCCAUCGCCUAUCAAAGCCCCAUUGGCGGCUCCAAUACAUCUACUGCGUCCCGAAGGUUCCCACCAUCGCUCCCGAAGCCCGCCCAUGCCGUCGCCUCCUGAAGCCCUGCCUAUGUCGUCGCCUCCCGAGUUCUUGAAGAGCGAAGUUGGUUCAUCACUGGGGAUUCUUUGCCUGCUCAAUCCAAACCAUCCCGAGACUGCAAGGGUCGAGGCACAAUUUUAUGUAGGUUAUGGUUUUGAGAGGAGAAUUUAAGAGCCAAAGGAAGUGAGUAAAAAAUUUGAAAAAGAAGUCACUGUGGUCCGCAAGCUUGGAGGAGGUAACUCUAGAUUUUUACUAUAUGAGAGCUUUAUAGCCUUUUCCCCCCAUAAAUAUGAGUUUAUUUUCUGAUUUGAGCAAAUGCGUCCUUUGAAUUCGCCAAACCUUAGAGUUAUGCAGGCAUCUUCUGGGAAUUCCCUUGCUGGAACCUUUUAAAUGGUUUCCACAAUGCUUUGCUGCUAUUUAAAUGGACAUAACUUGCUAUUAGGGAAUGUUAGCCAACUUGCUGGAACUCUAUUACAAUCAUUUUCUUUUGUGAUGUGCAUUUUUUUCGAUGUGUAGGUGAUGGACAUCUUUUAGGUUUUUUUAUUGGUAUUUUUAUUUUAGAUAAUUGCAAUCACUUUAGCGUUGCUAAGUGCUGUAAGAUAUAUGGUUGCAUCUCUUGCAUUCCCAUCAAAUUGAGGAAAUUGGAAAGCUGCACAUAGGUGAUAAGCUGUAAGGGUAGACCUUCAAAUUAGAUCUUUAAGAAUGCCUAAAAGUGGUUUAGCAAACUAUAUUUUAAAGUACCUUUUGAAUUAAACACUUUAACAUAGUUUGAUUUUUUUUUUCCUGAUAUUGCUAGACGUGCAACUUAAAUGUCAAGAUGGGUUGUACCUAUGGUAGCGAAUAGUACAUCUUAAGAUAAGCGUAACUAAAAAAUAUCAUGCAUAACUGCACCUUCUUUUGUGAGCAACAUGAUAUUUGUGAAUGUAUGUUAAAAGUCACAUCUGUUUGGCUUCUGGUCAUUCUGUCUAAGGUUCACCAUUUUAAGAAUUAGCAUUGCAACAGAAGCCUUUGGAAACUGAUAUAGAUUAAUCCUGAGAUUUUUUCCUUUCCUUGUCCCAAAUAGAUUAACCAUUGACUUGAAGCAAUACUCUUUUCUCUUGAACAUAACUGGAAGGUCUUUAUACGCACUAGCAUAACAGCCCCCUGAGCAACCAUUUGCCUCUAGUAUGGUUUGAAGGAAGCUUUUGGUGCAUAUGUAGGAUUUACUUACUGAUAACCUGUUUGGAUUGGGGUUUGUAGUCGAAAUGCAAGAAGUAUUAAUGUAAAUAUCUGAAGUAGGCUUUGAAGAGAGUUCUCUGAUGCAUGACUGGUGCUCGCUGAUGACAUUUUUGGCUAGAAUUUUGUGAUCGUAGAGUUGUGAGAAUCAAUGAAUGGAGCUACUGAUAUCUAUUCCAAUUGUUAGUUGCAUACCCACUUACCCAACAGUGGGGGAUCUGGUUGUAGAAUCUUGUAAUGAAUCUUGGGUCACAUACCUCAACAGAAAAGAUCUUUGACUUAUUAAAUUUGGUCUCUUGGUGUUUUAGUGCAACAGAUUAAUUCAUGUGAUAUAAGGGGACUGUGACUACAGUUCUAAAAAAGGACCAUGGAUUCAAGCAGAAGAUUUCAGUUACAAUAGAAUUUGAGACCUACACAAGGAUAUAAAAUGAAAAUGCAAGAAGCAUUUAUAAUGUAGAGAUUUAUGAUUUGAUUUGCCUCACUAUACAUUGGUCGUAGGAUAGUCCAUGAAUAGUUUUCUUCUCUUCAGACAGAGGGAAUCUAAUUUUUCUAUUUUUUCUGAUUUUUGUUCUGAACAUUUCGAAAUUCACAUAACAUAUAUUGAGAUCUUAGCAAGUGUAAUUUCCAUUUAAUUUUGCCACUUUUGUAUUUUUCCUUGCUCUUGUUAUCUUCGAACCAUGUUAAUAGCUGCAAUUUUGCGAAUCUAUGUUUUUCUAGUUUUUCUUCCACAGACAAUACGUUUCAUAGCGUGAUGAGCGAGUUGACGGAGUUGUUGCCUAUCGAGCUUUUCACUCUUCCUCCAAUACUCAAGUGUCCCCGGCGCCUAUACAAUGAGAGAUGCAUAAUCCAUGGGUUCAGCAGCUUGAAGCACUUUUCAACCAUCCUUGCGGUUGUCAUAAGAAUAGGUCAUGAUUUGAGAAGGGGGGUCACGUGGAAGAUCAUCGCAGUAGCUAGCUUAGGGAUUGCAACAAUUGUCAACACUUAUUCAGACCAACAUUUGCUACUUCCCUCCCUCUCAAUUUGUCAAUUUUUCUUGCUUUUUGUUCAAGUGUGAACACUUUGAAAUUGCAAUUCAAUUCAUUGAUCUAA